AGUGAACGCUGGCGGUAGGCCUAACACAUGCAAGUCGAACGGCAGCACAGGAGGGCUUGCCCUCUAGGUGGCGAGUGGCGGAGGCGGGAGGGAUACAUAUGAAUCUGUCCAGUCGCGGGGGGUAACGCAGGGAAACUUACGCUAAUACCGCAUACAACCUCCGGGGGAAAGAGGGGGGGAGCAAGGCAUCUCGCGAGUGUGUAUGAGGAUGUCGGAUUAUCGAGUUAGCGGGGUAAUGGCCCACCAAGGCGACGAUCCGUAGCUGGUCUGAGAGGAUGAUCAGCCACACUGGAACUGAGACACGGUCCAGACUCCUACGGGUGGCAGCAGUGGGGAAUAUUGGACAAUGGGCGCAAGCCUGAUCCAGCCAUACCGCGUGGGUGAAGAAGGCCUUCGGGUUGUAAAGCCCUUUUGUUGGGAAAGAAAUCUUUCAGGCUAAUACCCUGGGAUGAUGACGGCACCCAAAGAAUAAGCACCGGCUAACUUCGUG
rnacentral:rRNA from 1 species